rnacentral:rRNA from 1 species
ACUCCUACGGGAGGCAGCAGUGGGGAAUAUUGCACAAUGGGGGAAACCCUGAUGCAGCCAUGCCGCGUGUGUGAAGAAGGCCUUGGGUUGUAAAGACACUUUCUAGUAGGGAGGAAGGUAGUGUAGUUAACACCUGCAUUAUUUGUACGUUACCUACAGAAGAAGCACCGGCUAACUCCGUGCCAGCAGCCGCGGUAAGUACGGAGGGUGCGAGCGUUAAUACGGUAAGUUACUGGGCGUAAAGCGCAUGCAGGCGGCCUGUUAAGUCAGAUGUGAAAGCCCGGGGUCUUAACCUCGGAAUUGCAUUUGAAACUGGCGAGGCUAGAGUCUUGUAGAGGGGUUAGGAAUUUCUAGGUGUAGUGGUGAAAUGCGUAGAGAUCUGAAGG